AAAGAAGUAAACAUCUAAUUUAAAUUUUAUCGACUUUUAAUUUUUUACCCGCUCAUAAUUUGAUUUUUUAACCUUUUCCUAAUAAAGCUAUAGUCAUAGACGCCUUUCUUUUCUUCUCGUUUCCGCUCCCCUCUCUCUAACAAACCUCCACAGCCGCAACCCUUUGCCGCACCUCAAUUCUGGCCGCCACGAUGUAGACCAUGGCUUUUGGUGGUGCAAUCGAGUUCUUUUGGUGGCUUCUUGUUGCCGCCGCGUUUUUGCGGUACUGUUCUAUGGUCUAAUCUUGGUUUCGCGUUUGCGACACGUUGAUUUGCGUCGACCUAGGGAUGGGGUUUACGACAGUUGUGCUGCUUUGUGGUCACACCGUGUGUCUGUCCUCUCGUGAAUCGGUCUCUGGUUCCUUAUUCACGAUGGUUGUUUACCACCGUCGAAUUUUCAAUAUGUUGUUAUAGGUGGUUCACGGUUGUUGAUCGCAUUGAUGUUUAUGGUUGAUUUUGUCGCAAUCUGAGAUUCGGUUAAACAUCAUCGAUGUUGCCGCAAUGAUCAGCGAACCAAUUUACAUUGAUGGGAUAUUUCAUCGCUCUGAAUUUUGGUUUGAAAGGGCUGUUGGUUCUUGAAUCUAUCUAUGUUGGCGGUUGGUUCUUUCGUUGUGCGCUGGCAUCGUGUUUUAAUGGAUUUGUAGAUGGUUUGGCUCGAAAGGGAAAUUAUAGCUUGUUGUUGUUUGGCAGGGAGUUGCAGGAUCUUGAAUCGCUUCUGUGCUGGCAGAUGAUUCAUACGCCAGUUUAGACCCUCUUGGUAUUCAUCGUUUGCUUUAUCUUUUAGGGUAGGAUCCAUUUUGUGGAUUUUUUUUUUCUUAUUUUGUUUUUUUGUUUUGCCCCUUUGGGCUGUUUACUGAGUUAGGUUUUAUGUCCCCCCAAUUUUUAUGUAAUUUUUUCCUUUUUUUAAUAAUAUAUAUGAGCAAUUGGCAUUAGAUUAGAGUAGGGUUCCAACUUAAUUGGACACUAUUCUUUUUUAUGUCAUUUUGCUAUUGUCUUAUCAAAAAAAAAAACUUUUAAUUUUUUACGGAAGUUUAAUUUUCAAUUAAUAAAUGUAGUUAUUCAUCUUUUUUAAAAUAUGAGAAAUUGUGAAUAUUGUUUUUAUUUUUUUUUAUUUAGUGAAAUAUUUUUGGAUCAUAUUUAUAAUAUAAAAAGAAGUUAGUCAUUUUUGUUAAAUUUUUGGUUAAAACAUCUAUGUUGCUAACAGAUGCGCACACAUGGAAAAAAAUUCGGUUUGGGGGUACGAGUUUCCACUUGGACAUUUUAGAUAAAAUUAACUCAAAAUUUGAGAUGACGAACCUACAUUGACAUCAGUAACCUAAGUUUGAUAAUUGUUUAAG
rnacentral:lncRNA from 1 species